rnacentral:lncRNA from 1 species
UGGGGAGACGGCCCGCGCGCUGUUCGAGAGGGUGCGCAGGUUCCGGGCGCACAGCGAGGAGGGCGACCUGGUGUACAAGGUGUAUGUGGCUCAGACGGUGUUCAAGGUUGUGAAGUUUGUGCUGAUCGUGAGCUACACCUCUCCCCUGCUGGGCUCCAUCUCCUUCACUCACGAGUGUCGGCCGCAGAUCCACGCGCUGACGGGCUACAGCGCCUUCCGCUGCACGCACGACCUGGCCAGCGUCCUGCGCAAGCUGCUGCUGUCCUACCUGGCCCUGGUGUGGCUGUACGGGCUGCUGGGGCUCUACACUCUCUGCUGGAUAUUCCGCAGGUCCCUGCGGGAGUACUCUUUCCAGCGCGUGCGUGAGGAGAGCUCGAUCCGCGACGUGCCGGACGUGAGGAACGACUUUGCCUUCCUGCUGCACCUGGCUGACCAGUACGACCCGCUGCCCGGCCAGCGGCUGGCCGUCUUCCUGUCGCCCGGCAGCGAGACGCGGCUGCUGGAGGAGAGCCUGGAGCAGCAGUGGGGUGCGGAGAGGCUGCGGGGCCUGGUGACCCGGGACCACCGCGGCCGCACCCAGCUGCACCUGUGUGGCCUGCCCCGCCUGCCACCUGCCCUCUUCUCCCUGGGCCAGCUGGAGGUGCUGAAGCUGGAGCUGAUCCCCGAGGCCAGGCUGACCGCACAGGUGUCCCGCAUGACCGCACUCCGGUACGGGACUGAAAGAGAGUGUGAGUGAGUGUGAGUGUGAGUGAGUGUGUGUGAGUGUGUGUGAGUGAGUGUGAGUGUGAGAGUGUGAGUGAGUGUGAGUGAGUGUGAGAGUGUGUGUCCUGUGAGCUGGAGGUGCUGAAG